AAUGAACGUUGGCGGCAUGGAUUAGGCAUGCAAGUCGAGCGCGAAGUGUAGCAAUACACGGAAAGCGGCGGAAGGGAGAGUAAUACGUGGGAAUCUGCCCUUAGACCUGGGAUAGCAGCGGGAAACUGCUGGUAAUACCAGAUAAUGUCUAUGGACCAAAGGUGUGAUUCCGUCUAGGGAUGAGCCCACGUCCUAUUAGCUAGUUGGUAGGGUAAUGGCCUACCAAGGCGAUGAUGGGUAGCGGGUGUGAGAGCAUGACCCGCCUCACUGGGACUGGGACACGGCCCAGACACCUACGGGUGGCUGCAGUCGAGAAUCUUCGGCAAUGGGCGCAAGCCUGACCGAGCGAUGCCGCGUGCGGGAUGAAGGCCUUCGGGUUGUAAACCGCUGUCGAGGGGGAGCAACUUCCAUAGAGUUAUCUUUAUGGAUUGAGUGAUCCCUGGAGGAAGGACGGGCUAAGUUCGUGCCAGCCGCCGCGGUAACAC
rnacentral:rRNA from 1 species